CUAAAGGCAUGGAAAUGAGGGGCAGAGAUCCCCAGUGAAGAUCAGAGGCAGAGAUCAUCAAUGAAGAUCAAGGGUGGAAGCCCUGCCAUGGAAAUGAGAGUCAGAGAUCCCUAAUGAAGAUCAGAGGUAGACCCCCCAUGGAAAUGGGACGCAGAGAUCCCGAAUGAAGAUAAGAGGCAGACCCAACAUGGAAAUGAGAGGCAGAGAUCCCCAAUGACGAUCAAGGGUGGAACCCAAGCCAUGGAAAUGAGUGGCAGAAAUCCUGAAUGAAGAUAAGAGGCAGACCCCCUAAGGAAAUGAGAAGCAGAGAUCCUCAAUCAAGAUCAGAGGCAGAGAUCCCCAAUGACCAUCAAUGGUGGAAGCCCUGACAUGGAAAUGAGAGGCAGAAAUAGCAAAUGAAGAUAAGAGGGAGACCCCCUAAGGAAAUGAGAAGCAGAGAUCCCCAAUGAACAUCCCAGGUUAGACCCCCAUGGAAAUGAGAGGCAGAGAUCCCCAAUGAAGAUCAAGGGUGGAAGCCCUGCCAUGAGAGACAGCAAAUGAAGAUAAGAGGCAGACACCGUAAGGAAAUGAGAGGCAGAGAUCCCCAAUGAAGAUCAAGGGUGGAAGCCCUGCCAUGAGAGACAGCAAAUGAAGAUAAGAGGCAGACACCGUAAGGAAAUGAGAGGUAGAGAUUCCCAAUGAAGAUCAGAUGAAGAACGUCCAUGGAAAUGAGAGGGAGAGAUCCCCAAUGAAGAUCUGAGGCAAACCCAACAUGGAAAUGAGAGGCAGAGAUCCCCAAUGAAUAUUAGAGGCAGAGAGAUCCCCAAUGAAGAUCAAGAAUGGAACCAAAGCCAUGGAAAUGAGAGGCAGAGAUCCCCAAUGAAUAUUAGAGGCAGAGAGAUCCCCAAUGAAGAUCAAGAGUGGAACCAAAGCCAUGGAAAUGAUAGGCAGAGAUCCCCAAUGAAGAUCAAGGGUGGAAGCCCUGCCAUGAAAGACAGCAAAUGAAGAUAAGAGGCAGACACCGUAAGGAAAUGAGAGGUAGAGAUUCCCAAGGAAGAUCACAGGUAGACCACCCAUGGAAAUGAGAGGCAGAGAUGGCGAUGAAGAUGAGAAAUAGAGAUUCCCAAUGAAGAUCAGACGAAGAACGCCCAUGGAAAUGAGUGGCAGAGACAGACCCCCUAAGGAAAUGAGAAGCAGAGAUACCCAAUGACGAUCACGGGCAGAGAUCCCCAAUGAAGACCAUGGGUGGAACCAAAGUCAGGGAAAUGAGAAGCAGAGAUCCCUAAAGAAGAAUAGAGGCAGAGAGGUCCCUAAUAAAAAUGAUAGGUAGUCCCCCAAUGGAAAUGAGAGGUAGGGAUCCCCAAUGACGAUCAGAGGCAGAGAUCAUCAAUGAAGAUCAAGGGUGGAAGCCCUGCCAUGGAAAUGAGAGUCAGAGAUCCCUAAUGAAGAUCAGAGGUAGACCCCCCCAUGGAAAGGAGAGGCAGAGAGGGCGAUGAAGAUGAGAAAUAGAGAUUCCCAAUGAAGAUCAGACAAAGGACGCCCAUGAAAAUGAGAGGCAGAGAUCCCCAAUGAAGAUCAGAGGCAGAGAUCCCCAAUGAAGAUCAAGGGUGGAAGCCCUGCCAUGAGAGACAGCAAAUGAAGAUAAGAGGCAGACAUCGUAAGGAAAUGAGAGGUAGAGAUUCCCAAUGAAGAUCACAGGUAGACCACCCAUGGAAAUGAGAGGCAGAGAUGGCGAUGAAGAUGAGAAGUAGAGAUUCCCAAUGAAGAUCAGAUGAAGAACGUCCAUGGAAAUGAGAGGGAGAGAUCCCCAAUGAAGAUCUGAGGCAAACCCAACAUGGAAAUGAGAGGCAGAGAUCCCCAAUGAAUAUUAGAGGCAGAGAGAUCCCCAAUGAAGAUCAAGAAUGGAACCAAAGCCAUGGAAAUGAGAGGCAGAGAUCCCCAAUGAAUAUUAGAGGCAGAGAGAUCCCCAAUGAAGAUCAAGAGUGGAACCAAAGCCAUGGAAAUGAUAGGCAGAGAUCCCCAAUGAAGAUCAAGGGUGGAAGCCCUGCCAUGAAAGACAGCAAAUGAAGAUAAGAGGCAGACACCGUAAGGAAAUGAGAGGUAGAGAUUCCCAAGGAAGAUCACAGGUAGACCACCCAUGGAAAUGAGAGGCAGAGAUGGCGAUGAAGAUGAGAAGUAGAGAUUCCCAAUGAAGAUCAGAUGAAGAACGUCCAUGGAAAUGAGAGGGAGAGAUCCCCAAUGAAGAUCUGAGGCAGACCCAACAUGGAAAUGAGAGGCAGAGAUCCCCAAUGAAUAUUAGAGGCAGAGAGAUCCCCAGUGAAGAUCAAGAGUGGAACCCAAGCCAUGGAAAUGAUAGGCAGAGAUCCCCAAUGAAGUUCACAGGUAGACCACCCAUGGAAAUGAGCGGCAGAGAUCCCUAAUGAAGAAUAGAGGCAGAGAGGUCCCCAGUAAAAAUCAUAGGCACACCCCCAAUGGAAAUGAGGGGCAGAGAUCCCCAAUGAAGAUCAGAGGCAGAGAUCAUCAAUGAAGAUCAAGGGUGGAAGCCCUGCCAUGGAAAUGAGACUCAGAGAUCCCUAAUGAAGAUCAGAGGUAGACCCCCCAUGGAGAGGAGAGGCAGAGAUCCCCAAUGACGAUCAGAGGCAGAGAUCCCCAAUGAAGAUCAAGGGUGGAAGCCCUGCCAUGGAAAUGAGAGGC